UACCACUGAGCCACAACCCUACCAAAUUCAAUUUCUUAAACAGACGCAAGGAUAUUUAGAUUUUCUAUUUCUUCUUCUGUUCAUUUUGAGUUGUAAAUUUUGAGGAAUUUGUGCAUUUCAUCUCAGUUGGUAAAUUUAACCCAUUCCUUAAAAGGUGAAGAAACUAAAACUUAGAUAUGACAGGCCACAUAGCAAAUAAGGACCAAACCCAAGAACUCAUAUCUUCAGAGACACAGCCCAUUGCUCUCAAUCUGCCACAUCCAGACUUAUCCCACCUCCGAAAGCCACAGGGAACUUGUCUAAGGAUCUCUCCAGAAAUGACAUACAUGCAUUCUAUACAACCACAUGCUGCAGCAUUUAAUAUGACCUGCUGACACAUAUAGUUGUUCAAGGCAAAAUCACUAAACCACAGACUUCAAUUUUAGCAGUCUUACCUGCCAAACUCGUCUGUAAACUGAAAAUAUUAAUAGUUCCUACCUCAUGGUUUUUAAUGUAUGGGCAAUAUUUAGCAUAGUGUAUGGUCCACUCUCUGGUCCAUACUCACAGGACAAAGUUCACAUUUUCUUAUUUCUUCCUUAUUGGGGAAACACCUCACUCGACCCAAGGGAAGAUGAGCAGAUAAUUCAGGUUUCUGUAACUUGCCACCAAGAAUGCUGACUGAUACACCUGCUGUGCAUAUGAGGCUGUGAGCAUAGGAGCUGAUACUACACCAUCCAUCCCUGUGCUCACACUGCUGGCUGACUGCAAAGAAGUUCAGAGCAUUUCCUGGGUACUUGGUUAUGCACCAUCUUUCCUCCUUAACUAUCCCAGAAAGAGGACUUCUCAUUAGAAUUAAGCUGGGACAGAGGGCAGGGGAAUAAUGACCACACAACUGAUAUUUGACUUCUCCAAAUACUUCACCCCCAUUCUAGAGACAGAGACCAUAGCCAAGCUUAAUCUUAUGGGCCUAUUUAAAAGUUUGGCAAAAUAAAGAUUGUAAAAGCCAUCUGGGACUUUGCAAGUCUUUUUAAAUGUGCCUCAUUCAGACAUAAUGGGCUUAUCACGAGUGGCACUUUCCUUGCAAAGGAAGAGGGAGUAGAAGACAUAGAGAAGAUGAGGCAUGAGAAAGGAGACCUAAGUGCAGAUCCAGAGCAUGCAUGGGGAAGACCCCAGUUCCCCCAGGCAGGGAAGGAUGACUGAAGACACACCAGUCAGCACUGUGCACCCACCCGCCAUCUGCACCUACGAUAUCCUCACAGGAGCAGCCUAAGUGGAAAGCACCUGAGAGCAUCCAGGAAAAUUAAAAAUGCAAAUAUUCCUAGGAAACCUUACAUAGAAAUUAAAACAUCAGGAAGUUCCAGGGUGUUUAUGGAACAUUGUGUCAAAACUGCUAGCAAAUUGUUCUUUUAUCAACAGGGAACAUUUAGGUGGUGUUCAUGUUACACAUUAUUAGCAUUCGUGUCAGUCAAUGGAGAAGGAAUGGAUUAAAGCUGUCCAGCUGCAUUGGAGGGAUUCCACACCCUGGAGGGACAUCCAAAGAUGCAGAAGAGCCGACCCUUUAGGAGGCCACGUCGCCAGAGCUCCCCCUAUGGCUGCACGGCCCCUUCCCCAGACCCAAUCCACUGGACACCCAAAAGAAGAAACUUUUGGAAACAACUGCGAAGUUGCUUCAUGUGCUGCUGCCUGUGCCUCGCUGAUGGUCCUCCUCCAAUUGGCACACCUGAAAGUGGGAGGAGUAGCUUUAGGUCCACACCUGAUAGCCCUGGUGAGGUACAUCCAGGAGAGAACAUCACUUUUAUCCUCAAUAAGCACUGGAGCUGCAGCUUCAGCUCCAACCCCACGUCCACUGAGGAAUAUCCAGAGCCAAGCACCAAUGGGCAGGAGCUGGGCCUCAGGAUAAGUGCGGGACAGGGGGGACUCUACUGGCAGGGCACAGAGCAGAAUAAAAGUGAAUAAGAGCACAGACACCACCAGGACCACCUUCCUGAUAGGGAUGGGAGGUGGAGGGGCAGAGUCCCCACCGUGAGGAAUCUGAACAACAAAUCCUCACCCAUCCUCCUCACCCUCUCUGCCUGCCUCGUUCUUGGACUCAUCCAAGGUCACAAUUCCCAUAUUUGUGACAACAACAGAACAGCAACAGGGACAUUAUUUCAUUUUAAUUCUCUGAUGAUUUGUACUCUGCCACCCAACUGACUAUAACUCCUACACCCAGGUGUCCAGGUGACAAUGGCCUGACGGUCCUUCCACACUCUCUCCAAGUCUUACACAGCAUCAGGAUUACUAGGGCUGCGUUUAGCUGAAACAUCACAAGGCUCCUGCCAAUUGGUCCAUUCCUCUGGUACUUGCUGUCUCAAGGAACACAGACUGGGAAAGUAGAAGCUGAGCCCCCAGGACCUCACCACCUUCCAGGGGGACCCAGGUUCCACAGCCAUUCAGCCUUUCAGGGCUGUGGGACCUGGACCUCAUUCUGUCCUGGAGCCAUGUCAACAGCACCACAGAGAAUGAUGUCCUGGGUGUCCUUACACAGGGACCCUCCCGUCUGGGAUGAGCCCGUUUUCCCAUCUCCAGAAGGUGGUGUGCUGGUGGGACUCAGGGGAUAAGCUCCGAAUGCACAGAGCUGCCACCUCUGCUCAGCUAACACACUGGCGUGAAGCUGCUGUGUUUCUAACUAUCCCCUCAGCAAUUCCACUGUGAACUCUGCCAGCCAUUGCCCUGCUGGAGCUCUCCUGUCCCUCUGUGGGACAAGCCCCUAUGUGCUUUUGCUAUUGCACUGGACUCCACCCCCAGACACUUCUGGUGGGUCAGUUUGGCACUGACUCUGUUUCUUCAAUGUCCCAACCAAGAAGGUGGCUACAGAGGGGAUGACACCAGCAUUGGAUAUGUGUUCCAGGCGUACUCCCUGGGGGACCUGGAGGAGACCCUGGAGCCUGCCUUCUUCUAUGACUGUUUCUCUUCGGCCUCAAACAUCUCGAGUUCCUCCACCCAACAAGAGAUGGGCCAAAUGUUGGGAAGCCAGGUCACUGUCACAGGCCCCGAGGAGGAGGACCAAGGACACCAGGUCCCAGCCUUGACAGAAAACCCUGAGCCCAUGGAGGAACAGGCCGAAGCAGCUCUGGUGCUUGUGGAAGCUCCCGUUCGAGGUCCAACAUCUCCACCAUCUGAUAGAGAACUGGAGCUGGACGCACUUGCCUUGGACCAUCAAGGCCAACGUAUCCUGCUGGCCCUUCAGUCAGCACUGCAUCUAGAGAGGAACCCAGAGCCUCUGGUCUUGUCCCAGGCCAUUUGUUUAUUCAUUUUUAUUGUAUGUGUUUAUUAUUUUAUUUAAAAGUAAAGAUUUGUUUUCAUUGUUAAAAGUCUCAGUCAUUUGCCAUCAAGUGCCUUCUCUAUACUGUACAUUAGUCAGCACAAUGUAGUUCCAGAAUGUCUUCUGGAAUUCAGUAUCCAUGACCACUGCCUCCCCUCCCUCCUGCUAGUCCCCAGUGACCCCUUAGCUUUCUAGUCCUGUGAUAUGCUGAGUCUGCAUUUUUCAAACCAGUGCAGUAUGAUUUCUUCUGGGCUGUGUAACGUUGGAAGGGACUAAUUAUGUUUUCUUAGAAGGGAAAAUGCCACACUGAUCUACGUUUUUUUAUUUUUUAUUCUUAUUUCUUUGUUACUGGGCUGGAACCCAGGGGCACUUUACCACUGAGCUACAUCCAUGGUCUUGUUCCUUUUUCAUUUUGAGACAGGCUCUUGCUCCAUUGUUGGAGGCUGCCAUAGCAUGUGACCAGCGUUUGCUUCCCCUCCUGAUUAGCUAUGGCACUGAUGGUCACCCCGGUGAUGUGGCUACUUUUAAGUAGCUGAACACAAUAGCCCCCAUCUUGAGGGCAGAAAAACGCAAAUGUGUCUUCUUGCAUGGGCAUGCCUUCCUAAAUCCCCAGGGAUUGAGUUACCUCACAUGUCCUAGUUAACCCUGCCUUUCCCCAGGCCUGCCAAACAGAAGGGGAUUUGGAGGAGUCACAAGCUCUGAUGUCAUGAUAGCUGGCCAUGGCGGACCGCCAUUUUUACUAGCAGGCACCACCCACACAGUACUCUUUCAACUAGCCAUGUUAACACCUGAAAUGGGACCCCAGCGGAUUCCUACCAGAAUUCAUGGGCCAUUACCCCCAGGCACUAUAGGAUUAAUUUUGGAAUGAAAUUUAAAGAGUCAAUCCAAGUAUUACUGGGAAUUAUUGAUACUUGUUUUAGAGGUGAAAUAACAGUUACUGUAAAAUCAGAAUAUGCCAUUCAGCUUUCUACUAAAAACGCGCUAGCCCAAUUAAUUCUUUUACCCUGCAGCUCUGUGGACAGUCCAGAUAAAAUCUCAAUUUCCAAAUCGCCAGGCGGAGCAUACUGGGCCCAAUUAGUUUGGCAGGAGCACCCCCUAUUGGAACUUAAAAAUUAAUCAUAAAAAAUUUCAAGGAGUUAUAGAUACUGGGAACACUGCCCGGUGUUGGGUUUGUGCGUGGAAUUUUAUGAAAGGCAGUAGAUAAAUCAGUUUUGUCUCACUGAUUUUGGCCCCAAACCUGGCCUUUCCAUACUGCGCCAGCCAAUUUAGAAGAAAUAGGACAGAUUUGUCAGCCUGCCCAGAGUGCCCAAUAUCUUCACUGGGAGGACUGAGAUGGAAAUACUGAAAUUUUUAAGACAUAUGAUUUAGAUUCUUUACCAGUAAACUUAUGGGGAAGAGAUAUCCUAAGCAGUUUAGGAUUAUUAUUAGUAACUCCAAAUUCUAUCAAGUCAUCUGAGAAAUUUAAUCAAUGGUUUAUUCCUAGGGAUAGUGAAAGAAAUUUACAGGAUGAAUCUCUACUUAUGAACCAGUCUCCUCGACAGAGAUUAAUUAAUGCACCCAACCAAAAUUUUUGGUAGGGGCCCUUACUUUUUCCCGGUACAAAAUGUAGCAGAAGGGCUGGGGAUGUGGCUCAAGCGGUAGCGCGCUCACCUGGCAUGCGUGCGGCCCGGGUUCAAUCCUCAGCACCACAUACAAAGAUGUUGUGUCCACCAAUCACUAAAAAAUAAAUAUUAAAAAAUUCUCUCUCUCUCUCUCAAUCUCUCUCUCUCUCUUCUCUCUCUCUAAAAAUAAAGGUAGCAAAAAAGAUCACUUGGCUCACAGAAGAGCCAAUUUGGGUUAGUCAGUGGCCUGUAACAGGGGAAAAACUUAAAAUAGCUCAUAUUUGAGUCAAAGAAUAGCUUAAAGCUGGUCAUUCAGAGCCUACACUUAGCCCUUGGAACACAUCCAUUUUUGUAAUUAAGAAAAAUUCAGGUAAUUGGAGGUUAAUACAAGAUUUAAGGGCAAUAAAUCCUGCAAUUCAACCUACUGGAGCAUUAAAAUUUGGACUUCCAUCCCCCAGGGCAUGCCUUCCUACAUCCCCAGGGAUCGAGUUACCUCACCUGUCCUGACCCUCUUGACCUUCAUUGGAUGGAAAUUUCUAAAGAAUAAGAGCACAGACACCACCAGGACCACCUUCCUGGUAGGGAUGGGAGAUGGAGGGGCAGAGUCCCCACCAUGAGGAAUCUGAACAACAAAUCCUCACCCAUCCUCCUCACCCUCUCUGCCUGCCUCGUUCUUGGACUCAUCCAAGGUCACUGUUCCCAUAAUUUUGACAACAACAGAACAGCAACAUGGACAUUAUUUCAUUUUAAUUCUCUGAUGAUUUGUACUCUGCCACCCAACUGACUAUAACUCCAACACCCAGGUGUCCAGGUGACAAUGGCCUGACGGUCCUUCCACACUCUCUCCAAGUCUUACACAUCAUCAGGAUUACUAGGGAUGAGUUUAGCUGAAACACUACAAGGCUCAUGCCAAUUGGUCCAUUUCUCUGGUACUUGCUAUCUCAAGGAACACAGACUGGGAAAGUAGGAGCUGAGCCCCCAGGACCUCACCACCUUCCGGGGGGACCCAGGUUCCACAGUCAUUCAGCCUUUCAGGGCUGUGGGACCUGGACCUCAUUCCGUUCUGGAGCCAUUUCAACAGCACCACAGAGAAUGAUGUUCUGGGUGUCCUCACACAGGGACCCUCCUGUCUGGGAUGAGCCCGUUUUCCCAUCUCCAGAAGGUGGUGUGCUGGUGGGACUCAGGGGAUAAGCUCCUAAAUGCACAGAGCUGCCACCUCUGCUCAGCUAACACACUGGCCUGAAGCUGCUGUGUUUCUAACUAUCCCCUCAGCAAUUCCACUGUGAACUCUGCCAUUGCCCUGCUGGGGCUCUCCUGUCCCUCUGUGGGACAAGCCCCUAUUUGCUUUUGCUAUUGCACUGGACUCCACCCCCAGACACUUCUGGUGGGUCAGUUUGGCACUGACUCUGUUUCUUCAAUGUCCCAACCAAGAAGGUGGCUACAGAGGGGAUGAUACCAGCAUUGGAUAUGUGUUCCAGGCGUACUCCCUGGGGAACCUGGAGGAGACCCUGGAGCCCAUGUUCUUUCAAUCAUCCUCUUUGGCCUCAAAUAUCUCGAGUUCCUCCACCCAACAAGAGAUGGGCCAAAUGUUGGGAAGCCAGGUCACUGUCACAGGCCCCGAGGAGGAGGACCAAGGACACCAGGUCCCAGCCUUGACAGAAAACCCUGAGCCCAUGGAGGAACAGGCUGAAGCAGCUCUGGUGCUUGUGGAAGCUCCCGUUCGUGGUCCACCAACUCCACCAUCUGAUAGAGAACUGGAGCUGGACGAACCUGCAGUGGACCAUCAAGGCAAACACAUCCUGCUGGCCAUUCAGUCAGCAUGGCAUCCUGAGAGGAACCCUGAGCCUCUGUUCUUCUCCCAGGCCAUUGGUUUAUUUGUUUUUAUUGUUUGUGUUUAUUAUUUUAAAUUAAAGAUUUGUUUUCAUUGUUAAAAGUCUCAGUCAUUUGGCAUCAAGUGCCUUCUCUAAACUGUGCACUAGUCACCACUAUGCAGUUCCAGAACGUCUUCCGGAAUUCGGUAUCUAUGAUCACUGCCUCC